CAGCAGCCGCGGGAAUACGUAGGUGGCAAGCGUUGUCCGGAAUUAUUGGGCGUAAAGGGCUCGCAGGCGGUUUCUUAAGUCUGAUGUGAAAGCCCCCGGCUCAACCGGGGAGGGUCAUUGGAAACUGGGAAGCUUGAGUGCAGAAGAGGAGGGUGGAAUUCCACGUGUAGCGGUGAAAUGCGUAGAGAUGUGGAGGAACACCAGUGGCGAAGGCGACUCUCUGGUCUGUAACUGACGCUGAGGAGCGAAAGCGUGGGGAGCGAACAGGAUUAGAUACCCCAGUAGUCCCUGUCUCUUAUAC
rnacentral:rRNA from 1 species